AUAUGACUGACUUUAAUUAUCCAUAAAAUCAUCAGAUUCUCUGUAAGAUUAAGGUCGACUAUCGAACGGCGUAUAAAGGCUUUAAAACAAAGUAAACGCUGAAAGUUCAAACAUCGCUAAUGUCACAUAACUUUGCCGGCAUGUGGCCAACAGUAAUGUUUUAAUGUUUCUCAUUAUUAAACAUUUGCACAUAAAUAAGUGACAUAACAUUCAGUACUUACUUUUGAAAGUUUACUCUUUGGCUGCUCCGCUUCCACUUCUUUGAAGUGUCUCCCAGUCCCAGUGCACUUGUUAGCAUGUUUUGGUUCAUGCAACUGGUCCGUCCGCUUAUUGUCUCCCCAGAAACAUUUCCGUUGUGUUGUGUGUGCUUUUGCAGCGUUUUUCUUUUUGCAGCGUUUUUCUUUUUGCAGCAUUUUUCUUUUUGCAGCGUUUUUCUUUUUUGCAGCGUUUUUCUUUUUGCAGCAUUUUUCUUUUUGCAGCGUUUUUCUUUUCGCAGCAUUUUUCUUUUUGCAGCAUUUUUCUUUUUGCAGCAUUUUUCUUUUUGCAGCGUUUUUCUUUUUGCAGCAUUUUUCUUUUUGCAGCGUUUUUCUUUUUGCAGCGUUUUUCUUUUUGCAGCAUUUUUCUUUUUGCAGCAUUUUUCUUUUUGCAGCGUUUUUCUUUUUGCAGCGUUUUUCUUUUUGCAGCGUUUUUCUUUUUGCAGCAUUUUUCUUUUUGCAGCGUUUUUCUUUUCGCAGCAUUUUUCUUUUUGCAGCAUUUUUUCUUUUUGCAGCGUUUUUCUUUUUGCAGGUGUUUUUCUUUUUGCAGCUGUUUUUCUUUUUGCAGGUGUUUUUCUUUUCGCAGCAUUUUUCUUUUUGCAGCGUUUUUCUUUUUGCAGCGUUUUUCUUUUUGCAGCAUUUUUUCUUUUUGCAGCAUUUUUCUUUUCGCAGCGUUUUUCUUUUUGCAGCGUUUUUCUUUUUGCAGGUGUUUUUCUUUUUGCAGCCGUUUUUCUUUUUGCAGCGUUUUUCUUUUUGCAGCGUUUUUCUUUUUGCAGCAUUUUUCUUUUUGCAGCAUUUUUCUUUUUGCAAGUGUUUUCUGAAGUUGCAGUCCGUUUGGCCUCUCAGGGCCACCGUAAAAAAAAAAAGGCUUUAGGAUAUAAGGUUUCCUGGAAUAAUCUACAAAUUGAGCUAAAAUUGUCAGAAACGAGAGAACAGCUCUUUUGGUCAGUGUUCUUGUUUUGGUCAUUUAUUGCACACAACUCAUACAUUUGUGUUCACUGGUCUGUACAGA
ensembl:lncRNA